rnacentral:rRNA from 1 species
GAUGAACGCUGGCGGCGUGCCUAAUACAUGCAAGUCGAGCGAACAGACGAGGAGCUUGCUCCUCUGACGUUAGCGGCGGACGGGUGAGUAACACGUGGAUAACCUACCUAUAAGACUGGGAUAACUUCGGGAAACCGGAGCUAAUACCGGAUAAUAUAUUGAACCGCAUGGUUCAAUAGUGAAAGACGGUUUUGCUGUCACUUAUAGAUGGAUCCGCGCUGCAUUAGCUAGUUGGUAGGGUAACGGCUUACCAAGGCAACGAUGCGUAGCCGACGUGAGAGGGUGAUAGGCCACACGGGAACUGAGACACGGUCAAGACGCCUAAGGGAGGCAGCAGUAGGGAAUCGUACGCAAUGGGCGAAAGCAUGACGGAGCAACGCCGCGUGAGUGAUGAAGGUGUUCGGAUCGUAAAACUCGGUUAUUAGGGAAGAACAAAUGUGUAAGUAACUAUGCACGUCGUGACGGUACCUAAUCAGAAAGCCACGGCUAACUACGUG